GAUGAACGCUGGCGGUGUGCCUAAUACAUGCAAGUCGAGCGAACAGACGAGGAGCUUACUCCUCUGACGUUAGCGGCGGACGGGUGAGUAACACGUGGAUAACCUACCUAUAAGACUGGGAUAACUUCGGGAAACCGGAGCUAAUACCGGAUAACAUGUUGAACCGCAUGGUUCAACAGUGAAAGACGGUCUUGCUGUCACUUAUAGAUGGAUCCGCGUCGCAUUAGCUAGUUGGUAAGGUAACGGCUUACCAAGGCAACGAUGCGUAGCCGACCUGAGAGGGUGAUCGGCCACACUGGAACUGAGACACGGUCCAGGCUCCUACGGGAGGCAGCAGUAGGGAAUCUUCCGCAAUGGGCGAAAGCCUGACGGAGCAACGCCGCGUGAGUGAAGAAGGUCUUCGGAUCGUAAAACUCUGUUAUUAGGGAAGAACAAAUGUGUAAGUAACUAUGCACGCCUUGACGGUACCUAAUCAGAAAGCCACGGCUAACUACGUG
rnacentral:rRNA from 1 species